GUGGGGAAUCUUAGACAAUGGGCGCAAGCCUGAUCUAGCCAUGCCGCGUGAGCGAUGAAGGCCUUAGGGUUGUAAAGCUCUUUCAGUGGGGAAGAUAAUGACUGUACCCACAGAAGAAGCCCCGGCUAACUCCGUGCCAGCAGCCGCGGUAAUACGGAGGGGGCUAGCGUUGUUCGGAAUUACUGGGCGUAAAGCGCACGUAGGCGGACUGGAAAGUCAGGGGUGAAAUCCCGGGGCUCAACCCCGGAACUGCCUUUGAAACUCCCAGUCUUGAGGUCGAGAGAGGUGAGUGGAAUUCCGAGUGUAGAGGUGAAAUUCGUAGAUAUUCGGAAGAACACCAGUGGCGAAGGCGACUCACUGGCCCGUUACUGACGCUGAGGCGCGAAAGCGUGGGGAGCAAACAGGAUUAGAAACCCUGGUAGUCC
rnacentral:rRNA from 1 species